rnacentral:rRNA from 1 species
GAUUAAGCCAUGCAUGUGUAAGUAUAAAUAAUUUUACUUUGAAACUGCGAAUGGCUCAUUAUAUCAGUUAUAGUUUAUUAGAAAUAYUUUACUACUUGGAUAACCGUAGUAAUUCUAGGGCUAAUACAUGAVUAAAUCCUCAACUUCGGAAGAGGUGUGUUUAUUAGUAUGAAAACCAUAUAUCUUCGGAUAUAAUAGUGAGUAAUAAUAACCUUUCRUAUCGUAUGUCGUAAGAUAACGAUAGUUCUUUCAAGUUUCUGCCCUAUCAGCUUUCGAUGGUAGUAUAUGGGACUACCAUG